rnacentral:rRNA from 1 species
ACAUGACAGUCAAUUUUUUCGAGAGUUUGAUCCUGGCUCAGGAUGAACGCUGGCUGUGUGCCUAAUACAUGCAUGUCGAGCGGAGUUCUUCGGAACUUAGCGGCGAAUGGGUGAGUAACACGUACUUAACAUGCCCUCUAGAUUGGAAUAACGAUUAGAAAUGAUCGCUAAUGCCGGAUACUUAUAUUUUUCGCAUGAAGAAUAUAUAAAAGGAGCGUUUGCUUCGCUAGAGGAUUGGGGUGCGUAACAUUAGCUAGUUGGUAGGGUAAUGGCCUACCAAGGCUAUGAUGUUUAGCGGGGUUGAGAGACUGAUCCGCCACACUGGGACUGAGAUACGGCCCAGACUCCUACGGGAGGCAGCAGUAGGGAAUUUUCCACAAUGGACGAAAGUCUGAUGGAGCGACACAGCGUGCAGGAUGACGGCCUUCGGGUUGUAAACUGCUGUUAUAAGGGAAGAAAAAAUAAAGUAGGGAAUGACUUUAUCUUGACGGUACCUUGUCAGAAAGCAACGGCUAACUAUGUGCCAGCAGCCGCGGUAAUACAUAGGUUGCAAGCGUUAUCCGGAAUUAUUGGGCGUAAAGCGUCUGUAGGUUGUUUGUUAAGUCUGACGUGAAAACUUGGGGCUCAACCCCAAAUUGCGUUGGAUACUGGCAAACUAGAGUUAUGAAGAGGUUAGCGGAAUUCCUUGUGAAGCGGUGAAAUGCGUAGAUAUAAGGAAGAACACCAACUUGGCGAAGGCAGCUAACUGGGCAUACACUGACACUGAGAGACGAAAGCGUGGGGAGCAAACAGGAUUAGAUACCCUGGUAGUCCACGCUGUAAACGAUGAUGAUUAGCUGAUGGGAAACUCAUCGGCACAGCUAACGCAUUAAAUCAUCCGCCUGAGUAGUAUGCUCGCAAGAGUGAAACUUAAAGGAAUUGACGGGGAUCCGCACAAGCGGUGGAGCAUGUGGUUUAAUUUGAAGAUACGCGUAGAACCUUACCCACUCUUGACAUCUUCCGCAAAGCUAUAGAGAUAUAGUGGAGGCUAACGGAAUGACAGAUGGUGCAUGGUUGUCGUCAGCUCGUGUCGUGAGAUGUUCGGUUAAGUCCUGCAACGAGCGCAACCCUUGUCCUUAGUUAAAUGUUCUAAGGAGACUGCCCGAGUAAUUGGGAGGAAGGUGGGGACGACGUCAAAUCAUCAUGCCUCUUACGAGUGGGGCAACACACGUGCUACAAUGGACGGUACAAAGAGACGCAAUACGGCGACGUGGAGCAAAUCUCAAAAAACCGUUCUCAGUUCGGAUUGUAGUCUGCAACUCGACUACAUGAAGUCGGAAUCGCUAGUAAUCGUAGAUCAGCUACGCUACGGUGAAUACGUUCUCGGGUCUUGUACACACCGCCCGUCACACCAUGGGAGCUGGUAAUGCCCGAAGUCGGUUUUGUUAACUACGGAGACAACUGCCUAAGGCAGGACUGGUGACUGGGGUGAAGUCGUAACAAGGUAUCCCUACGAGAACGUGGGGAUGGAUUACCUCCUUUCUA